ensembl:lncRNA
UGAUGAGAUUUUCUGCUUCUGAGGAAGUGAAGAAGAACCUGACGGGCACUGUGGGAGGAAACAUCACUCUACCUGACUCUGUGCUGGGGGAAGGAUUUCUGUUAUAUGAAAGAAAGAUUAUUGCUCUGGUGAAUAAUGGAGAAAUUAAAGUCUACAAGAACAGACUUCAGUGGGACAGAAACUCUGGACUCUUUACACUCAGAGAGCUGCAGAGGAACGACUCAGGGAUUUAUACUGUCGACUCUAAAACAGGAAAAGGUUUCACAUCAUCAUAUAAGCUCACAGUGUACGACUCUGUACCGACUCCUGCAGUGAAGAAAAUGUGUGGCUGCAAACCCUGCAGAGGAGAAAACUCUUCCUGUCCAUGUGAGAACCACCUGUGGAGACACAGACGACAACGACACCAACAGCUCGACUGAACCAAGAAACUAUAACAUCCUCAUUAUAAUCUUCUGUGUCCUGAGUGCUACCCUCAUCAUCAUCGUCAUCAUCAUGAAGAGGAAGCAUCCUGUCCAAGACAAGUUUAAACUCCUACAAGCUGCAGGCAGAGCUCCUGUGGAUGAAGUGCUCCUUUACACUGGCACAGCUGACAGCAGACAGGGUGGGAUUUUAGCGGCGGUAUCGGGAACCAGUGAUGGCUCCAGUCUGACAGCAGUGUCUUACAAACUGGUGCUCGUCACACGAGAGGUGUGACUGGCUGGAACGUCCGAGGAAAGCUGGACUCUGGAAAGAAGUUUUCCUUUGGUACUGAUGAUUUGGAUUGAUUAUGAAUAAAGUGCAUUUUUACAGUGUGAAUGUGCCACAGAAGAGUUUCCAUCUACGUCAUCAUGACCUCUGACCUGCUCCUCUGACACUGAUCAUAAAAGACUGUAUCCAGACAAUGGACAGAGGACGCAGCUGUACGUCAUGUUUACCUGUCAAAUCAUUCAAAUGAUGCAACAAAGCAAAGACUUCCCUCUCUGUCACCUACCUGCUGCCUUGACUCCUCUCUCCUCGCGUCUCUUCCUCGCCUCCUCUCUUUGCAUCCUCAGAGGGAGGGUCUAGGACAAGGGGAGAGGAGGUGAGGGAAGGAAACUUUGGAAGGAUCUGAGGUGAACCUUCACGUCUCCUCUUCAUCGUUUACCUUCGUGGACUCUGAAGGCCUCGUAGUAGGUCUGGGACUAGUAGGACCAGGUCUGUGUGUGAGGAGGAGCAGCUGGGCUUGGAAGAAAGCAGCAGAGACUGAAUCACAUUUGAUUCUGAUCAAUAUUCCUUCAAAGGUUUAUUUGUGAUGUGAGUGCAUGUAGAUCUCCAGGACGAGCCUUACUGCUGCUCUGAGGACUGAAAGCUUCACUGAGCUCUGAUUUAUUUCUCUGCUUUUAAUUCACACCUUUAACUUCACACUUUUGUCCACAGUUCAAACUCCAGCAGCUCACAGAGCUCAUCACUGCCUCCGUCAGCUCACAGGGCGCCCCCUUGUGGUCACUGACAAGCUGUUCACAAAUUAGAUUUGAUGUCAUUUAUUCUCAUCUUCCCGACUGUUGCUGCAAAUACAUGAAAUAAAUAACAGAAGCUUUGU